ACAGUACAAACUGAGCAGGCGAUGGACAUUGUUCAUGGGGCUGGGCCAAUGGCAGCAGGUUAUACCUGUGGGACGGUA
rnacentral:ncRNA from 1 species